GAUGAACGCUGGCGGCGUGCCUAAUACAUGCAAGUCGAGCGAACGGACGAGAAGCUUGCUUCUCUGAUGUUAGCGGCGGACGGGUGAGUAACACGUGGAUAACCUACCUAUAAGACUGGGAUAACUUCGGGAAACCGUAGCUAAUACCGGAUAAUAUUUUGAACCGCAUGGUUCAAAAGUGAAAGACGGUCUUGCUGUCACUUAUAGAUGGAUCCGCGCUGCAUUAGCUAGUUGGUAAGGUAACGGCUUACCAAGGCAACGAUGCAUAGCCGACCUGAGAGGGUGAUCGGCCACACUGGAACUGAGACACGGUCCAGACUCCUACGGGAGGCAACAGUAGGGAAUCUUCCGCAAUGGGCGAAAGCCUGACGGAGCAACGCCGCGUGAGUGAUGAAGGUCUUCGGAUCGUAAAACUAUGUUAUUAGGGAAGAACAUAUGUGUAAGUAACUGUGCACAUCUUGACGGUACCUAAUCAGAAAGCCACGGCUAACUACGUG
rnacentral:rRNA from 1 species